GUCCACGCCGUAAACGAUGGGUACUAGGUGUUGCGGGUAUUGACCCCUGCAGUGCCGAAGCUAACGCAUUAAGUACCCCGCCUGGGUAGUACGGUCGCAAGACUAAAACUCAAAGGAAUUGACGGGGGCCCGCACAAUCGGUGGAGCAUGUGGUUUAAUUCGACGCAACGCGAAGAACCUUACCUGGGUUUGACAUCCCGAUCGCACCUGGUGGAAACAUUGGGGUCAGUUCGGCUGGAUCGGAGACAGGUGCUGCAUGGCUGUCGU
rnacentral:rRNA from 1 species